rnacentral:ncRNA from 1 species
GAGUAGGGCUACACACGUGCUACAAUGGUCGGUACAAAGGGUUGCCAACUCGCGAGAGUGAGCCAAUCCCGAAAAGCCGAUCUCAGUCCGGAUCGGAGUCUGCAACUCGACUCCGUGAAGUCGGAAUCGCUAGUAAUCGUAGAUCAGAAUGCUACGGUGAAUACGUUCCCGGGCCUUGUACACACCGCCCGUCACACCAUGGGAGUGGACUGCACCAGAAGUGGUUAGCCUAACGCAAGAGGGCGAUCACCACGGUGUGGUUCAUGACUGGGGUGAAGUCGUAACAAGGUAGCCGUAGGGGAACCUGCGGCUGGAUCACCUCCUUA